GGGGUGGAUUAGUGGCGAACGGGUGAGUAACACGUGGGCAAUCUGCCCUUCACUCUGGGACAAGCCCUGGAAACGGGGUCUAAUACCGGAUACGACUGCGGAAGGCAUCUUCCGUGGUGGAAAGCUCCGGCGGUGAAGGAUGAGCCCGCGGCCUAUCAGCUUGUUGGUGGGGUAAUGGCCUACCAAGGCGACGACGGGUAGCCGGCCUGAGAGGGCGACCGGCCACACUGGGACUGAGACACGGCCCAGACUCCUACGGGAGGCAGCAGUGGGGAAUAUUGCACAAUGGGCGAAAGCCUGAUGCAGCGACGCCGCGUGAGGGAUGACGGCCUUCGGGUUGUAAACCUCUUUCAGCAGGGAAGAAGCGAAAGUGACGGUACCUGCAGAAGAAGCGCCGGCUAACUACGUGCCAGCAGCCGCGGUAAUACGUAGGGCGCAAGCGUUGUCCGGAAUUAUUGGGCGUAAAGAGCUCGUAGGCGGCUUGUCACGUCGGAUGUGAAAGCCCGAGGCUUAACCUCGGGUCUGCAUUCGAUACGGGCUAGCUAGAGUGUGGUAGGGGAGAUCGGAAUUCCUGGUGUAGCGGUGAAAUGCGCAGAUAUCAGGAGGAACACCGGUGGCGAAGGCGGAUCUCUGGGCCAUUACUGACGCUGAGGAGCGAAAGCGUGGGGAGCGAACAGGAUUAGAUACCCUGGUAGUCCACGCCGUAAACGUUGGGAACUAGGUGUUGGCGACAUUCCACGUCGUCGGUGCCGCAGCUAACGCAUUAAGUUCCCCGCCCUGG
rnacentral:rRNA from 1 species